GAUGAACGCUGACAGAAUGCUUAACACAUGCAAGCCUACCAAUAAUCACUUCGGUGAGGAAUGGUGGCGGACGGGUGAGUAACGCGUAAAUAAUCUGCCCUUUAGACUGGGAUAUCCUUUGGAAACGAAGGUUAAUACCGGAUAUUAUGAGAUGGACGCAUGUUCAACUUAUGAAAGCUAAAUGCACGUAGAGGAGGAGUUUGCGUCCCAUUAGCUAGUUGGUGAGGUAAAGGCUCACCAAGGCCACGAUGGGUAGCCGGCCUGAGAGGGUGAACGGCCACAAGGGAACUGAGACACGGUCCUUACUCCCACGGGAGGCAGCAGUGGGGAAUAUUGGACAAUGGAGCAACAGUCUGAUCCAGCAAUUCUGUGUGCACGAUGAAGGUCUUCGGAUUGUAAAGUGCUUUCAGUAGGGAAGAAAAAAAUGACGGUACCUACAGAAGGAGCGACGGCUAAAUAUGUGCCAGCAGCCGCCGUAACAC
rnacentral:rRNA from 1 species